rnacentral:lncRNA from 1 species
CUGAAACGAGAGCUUGGGAAGAGAGUUGGUGAGCCUGAAAACCCAGAAAGCAAAUUCUUUACUUUUUCCAAGUAUGGAAAAACCUCUCUUCCUUCAUGGGGUUAUAUAAACAGAGAAAAGCAAAAGAAAUGAGUGAGUUUUUCAAUUCUUUUUUUUCUUUUUUAACUGUAAAGGCAUAUUGGGGAAGCGCAUCUAUGCAUGUGAGGACGGUAGGGUCUGAGUGGCAGUUAGCCAAUCUGGCAAUGGCCAAGUCCCAUUGCCCCACAACAGGCAUGUUGUGUUAUGAUGUUAUCCGGUAGGAGCGAAGAGACUAGAUAGAAAUAUUUACAGAUGAGGUGGCGUUUGGCAUUUGUCAUUGUUGAGCAAGAAUUCACAAAUAGCAUAAUCUUCUUUGUUGUUGAGCUCU